CAUGUGCGUGUGCACGCGCUGGGAUUGGUAGUGCACAACAACUGGAGUCUUAUUUACAUUAAAUCAGCUCCAAGUUUACAGUCAGCGCAGAUAGAUGAGCGUCAUUUUUAUCACUCAAUACUUCUUCUGUGGCGCGUCAGGACGCACGGGAGCAAACGCACGCUUAUCCUGGACUUUGUUAAGGAGCAAAGAAGAAGAAGGAGAAGAAGAAGAAGAAGAGGAACCCACGCUGCUCUGCUGAAAGGUAAGGAUUGGACUUUUUUUUUUUUUGGAAUGAUUUGGUGACCGCGGUGCGCGGAACGGACGCUUUGCUCGGUCAGUUCCAGCGCAGCAGUGUGUGUGUGUGUGUGUGUGUGUGUGGAUGGAUGCUGGUGUACACACACACACACACACACACACACACACACACACACACACACACACACACACACACACACACACACACACACACGCACACACACGCAGAGGGUCGGCUUUCACAUAAACAAGUGUUUAUUGGCACUUGAGGCUGGGUAACAAACGGGGGGAUUAUUGCGCAGCGGCGACGGAGCGCAGCGCCGUCCUUCUUUAACGCUACAGCGCGUUUCACCUUCCACAUCCACACAGGGGGAGUCAGAGCUGAAAGAUGAAGGGAAUAAUACGCUGAUGUCUGCGUGGUGACCGGAGGGGACCGACCGACCGACCGACAGAAACAAGUGAUCAGACACGCGGUUUUUUUCAUCAGAAACUACAUGUGCGUGAGGAGGCUGAGCCGGACUCUCUUUAACAGGUCCCGAGCGCACUUUGUUUGUUUCUUUCUUUCUUUUCAACACCCCCCACCCUCCGCUACCCGACCGGUCAAAUCAUAUGGACAUGUCUCAUUAUUCAGCGAGCCCCAUUUCUUCUUCCGAGGCAGCCGUUACGCACAGGACUUAAACCCGGCGGCUCCGCCACAUUCUGAAGGUUUUGGUCGUCCAACCGUCUGUGAAGCCGUCGGAGGUUCUUCACGACAUCCGGCGCUCGCUGGAGAGGCAGGGCUCCGUGCUCAGGGCCAACCAGGAGAGGAGCUGAAGCUGCUUUAACGCCGUCACAAGCCCCGCCCUCACACACACAGACUGAGGUGCUCAUUGCCACGUGCACUAAGUUGGUGAACGUGAACUUUCACUGAGUGGCCUUUCCAUCCUCACAGACCAGUUGAACAUCAGUAUGCAGUUGGUGUGUUAAGGUGAGUUCACACUGUGUUAAACAACUUCAAAAUAUUUUCACUUUCAUUGAAAGUCUCUGAACACUGUACGGGAGUUAUUGGCAACUGGUGGCCCGGGGGCCACAUGU
rnacentral:lncRNA from 1 species